rnacentral:rRNA from 1 species
UACGUAGGGUGCAAGCGUUGUCCGGAAUUAUUGGGCGUAAAGAGCUCGUAGGCGGUCUGUCGCGUCGGCUGUGAAAACCCGGAGCUCAACUCCGGGCCUGCAGUCGAUACGGGCAAACUAGAGUACUGCAGGGGAGACUGGAAUUCCUGGUGUAGCGGUGAAAUGCGCAGAUAUCAGGAAGAACACCCGUGGCGAAAGCGGCUCUCUGGAACGGUACUGACGCUGAGACGCGAAAGCGUGGGGAGCGAACAGG